rnacentral:lncRNA from 1 species
GCAGCACCCAUGGUAUAUGGAAGUUCCCAGGCGUAGGGGUCAAAUUGGAGCUGCAGCUGCUGGCCUAUGACACAGCCACAGCAAUUCGGGAUCUGAGCCGCGUCUGUGACCUACACCAUAGCUCACGGCAAUGCUGGAUCCUUAACCCACUGAGUGAGGCCAGGGAUAGAACCUGUGUCCUCAUGGAUACUAGUCAGAUUCGUUUCCACUGAGCCACAACAGGAACUCCUCAAAUUUCAAGUUAAAAAUCUUCAAGCCUACUUAUGUGCAGAAGGUAUGCUUCUCUCACCUUCUUAGUUAUCUAGCAUGUCUUUGGAUUAUAGGAGAUCAGAGAUAGUUCUAGCAAAUGGCAAUUAUUUGAAAAAAGUGGCUCAUGAAUUGAGUAUAUAACUGUCUCUCUACCUUUUUUUCACAGCUCUGGUUUGAAUUCAGACAGGGGCCUAGGGAAUCCAUAGCCCAGGUCUGAAUAAGGGUUUGGUUGGAACUAGGUCUAUAGUGGUAUUUGAUUAAAGAUUUAUCACUUAAAUUGGGAUUUAGCUUUUAUUUCCAAUGGUAGAAAGCAUUUCCUUUACCUUCCACUUUGUUCCUUUGUGUCCCCCCUACCCCCAAUUAAAAAUACUCAAUGUUCCAUAAUGUGUCGUUUGCUUUCAGAUGAACUAGUUACAAAACCAAAACAUUUUCUUCUUCUACUGCAAUUUCAGGAUCUGACAAAACUUACCCAUUUUCCCCUUUGGAAAAAAAAAAAAGGGUCCAACAUAUCCAACCCAAGAAGACACCUGGGGUCCUAGGUAAUUCUGAGGUUUCACUUAAUAGUGCAAAAAUUGAUUUUUUUUGUGGGGGGGAGAGGGGCGGUUAGGGCUGUAUCAGUGGCAUAUAUAAGUUCCCAGGCUAGGGGUCGAAUCAGAGCUAUAGCUGCCAUUCUACGCCACAGCCAUAGAUAGCAAUGGAGGAUCCAAAUUAUGUCUGUGACCUAUACCACAGCUCAUGGCAACACUGGAUCCUUAACCCACUGCCUGAGGCCAGGGAUUGAACCCAAGUCCUCAUGCAUACUAGUUAGGUUCGUUACUGCUGAGCCACGACAGGAAAACCCCCAAACUGUGAUUUGAUUAAAAAAAAAAAAAACAAACAUUUUCAAUUCUUAGAAGAUUUUAAAAGUACAAAGGAGAAAAGAAAAAUUGCUCAAUUGUACCACCCUGGCGUAACUCAGUUCACAUUUGGGCAUGGUUGACUUUCCAUCUUCCAAGUCUAGAUUUUUGUUAAAAGAGUUUAUAUUUUUAACAGUACUCACUCUUAGCAGUUUGGUAAAAAACCUUCGACCUAGGUGGCCACAUUUUGUCCUGCCUUUUGGAGCAUCUCCUAAGAGGAGAAAGUAUAUACCAUCUUCCCAGGGGGAUCUUAUUAAUCAAUACCCCCAUGACACACUAGAGAGGUAGAUUUUUCUCUCUGUUGUGACUGCCGUAAUUUGAUAUUUGCCAUGCCAAUAGCCACUCCAUGCUUUCUUGUAGUUAAGUGACAUUUAUUUGACAUCCUUUGUCACAUGAGUAAUCUUUAUCCUAUGCCGCCCAUUCAUCUUCUUUCAGUCUUUGGCGACAAUCCUUGUUCAGAUAAUAACAGUAGCAUGUAUCUGUCAGUUAGCGACCGUUUACAGUGUGCCUGAGCCUGGUGGAACUCACUGUCAGAAUCCUUGCAUUCUUUUCUGAGGCUAGUGGCGGCAUCGUAGUUUGACAGGUGAGGCCACGAGGUUCAGGGAGUUAAGGAAUUUGCCUGGACACGGCAGAUUCCCACCCUAGGGUCUUGCAUGCUAAAGUCAGGGAAUUAUUAAAAUGUUCUCCCAACAAAGGAAGGAACUUUAUAGAAGGACAUUUCAGGUGUCCACCAGAUGAGUGACCUCAUACAACAGAAAAGCUUCAUUCUGCCGGGAGGUUCAGUGAACGGAAACGAACCCCAUGAACUCUCACAAGGCCCAGGUUCUCAUGGAGUGAUUCUCAAGGUCCUACCCACCAAGUCUCUCACACUUAGGGCAUCCCAGACUUAGGGUUUACUCCUCAGCCUCCCUUUGCCUGAGGCUCUAAUUUGGCAUCUUGAACAGAGCCCUUGAGGACUCAACAGUGGAGGGUUUCUUGUUACAGCCAUGGGAAAUCUUACCCGGAACUGUGGUCUGACAGAGUUAGUCAUGCAGCAGACAAGACAGGGUAGGUUGUGCAAGCCCUCUGUCUGCUUGAGGAUAGAGUAGUCAUGGAAUGAGAGCUGGUGACGUGAGAUUGGGUGUCUGUCUCAUGCGGAAAGAGGGUAAGUCUUCAGGCAUAGAGAAGGUGAGAGACAAGGGUGGAGUCUGGGAAGACAAGAGGGGAUGUGGAUGCUAUUGGCCCGUUAGAAUAAGCUCCACUAGGUGAGCCUCACACCCUGUCAGACCUGAGUCUGCUUUUAGUCAAAUUCAGCAGCUAGUUUUUUGAGGAAAAAAAAAUGAAUCAAGGAUCCAAGCUCUUGUUCAGGUUGUGUGGAGGCUGACAGAGGAGGGGAACAAACUAAAUGGUUUUUUUCUUCAACAAAGACUUACCUGCACCUACUAUACCUGACCUCUCCCUUCUCUAUACAACAAAAUGAUUUUUGUAAGAAUUAUAAAAUGAAACAAAUAAUAGUAAUGGAUAGAAAGGAAAAACAGGAAGUCUGAAUUUUUUUAUAGACGUAGUAUAUAAUAAUGCUAUUAAAAAAUAAGAAACAUUACUGAGCCAAAAAGGAAAAAAGUAAUAGAUUAAAUCCUGAGAUUGAUUUUUUUUUUUUGUCUUUUUAGGACCAAACCUGCAGCAUAUGGAGGUUCCCAGGCUAGGGGUCUAAUCGGAGCUGUAGCCACCAGUCUACGCCACAGCCACAGCAACACCAGAUCCAAGCUGUCUGCGACCUAUACCGCAGCUCACAGCAACGCCACAUCCUUAACCCACUGAGUGAGGCCAGGGAUCGAACCUGCAACCUCAAGGUUCCUAGUUUGAUUUGUUUCCACUGGGCCAGAAUGGGAACUCCCUGAUUUUUUUUUUUUUUUGAUUAAAGGGAGAGAAUCCUUAUAUUAUUUUGUAGUGAUAAAUACAGGCAUUCUUUUCAAGGGUUCUGAGAAUUUCAUCAAUUUUACCUCAACAAAAUUGAUUUUCUUCAGAUAUUCAGGUUCAGUUGAUGGUAUAGACAGUGUUUUCAGUCUAUGCCCAUGAUUGCUGGAAAAACUGUUUUAAAAUUAGUAUUAAAGCAUUUCUUUCAUAUGAAACAACAGAUGAACAAACAGUUGGGAAAAGUCUUAAACAUAAGGCUAAAUUGGACAGGGAUCCAUAAAAAUCUUAUUUCGUCAUAAAUUCCACCAAUCACAACAGUGUCUUUGUUUAUCCAGGAUGGAUUGUAGUGGCUUUCAAAUAUCUUUGUAGCUGGAAAGAUUUAAACACACCUAAGUGGUCACACUGAAGUUCACAGUUGAAGCAAUUCAAACUCUGUUUCUUGCUUUCACAACCACUGUGUUGUCUUUAUUUAUUUUGAAGCUCCUGUUUAAACACAGAAAUAUGUUGUUCCAGAGAGACUGGAAAUAGGAACUGUCCCCCAAACCAGCUCAGACCAUUAAGGACUCUUGAAACCAACACAGGCAGUUGAGUCCUUGCGUGUUGCGGGCCAGCUUUACAAUUUAUUAGUAUUUCCUUUCAUGGAGAAUAUGGUGUUUCUUAAAGGAUCCAUAGCUAAACCAUGCUUAUUUGAAGGUUACAUACAUGUUACUAAAACCAAAUUAGGUAACUGCAGAAAUUGUUUAGAAUCUCGAUCAAGGAAGGUGCUUUUUUCUCCUAAGUAAGGAGUAUUUUUUUCAUUGGCAUUCUUUAGAAUUGCCAACUUGGGAGUUCCUGCUGUGGCGAAGUGGGUUAAGAAUCCCCCUACAGCCGUUUGGGUUGUUGCAGAGGUGCAGAUUCGAUCCCUGGCUCAGCACAGUGGGUUAAGGGAUCUGGCAUUGACGCAGCUGUGGCUCAGAUUCAGUCCCUGGCCUAGGAACUUCCUUAUGCUGUGAAAAAAAAAAAAGAAAAAAGAAAAAAGAAUUGCUAGCUCCUGGUUGUAAUAAAUGGAGACUGAUGACUAGGCAUAAUUGCUGUUGUUUAAAAAAUUUUUUAUAGUCAACACACUUCCUUGGUUCCUGUACUUGGGAAGGAUCACAUCUCCCAGCCCACUCACUGGCCUUUGGUACUUCCCUGCUUAAAAGAUUGCUUUGGCUUCAGGAUUGUUUUGAGCUAUUUCUAAUCCACUUAUUUUCUUUUUCCACUUUUUUUUUGUCCAUGCCCUGGUGGCAAGUAGAAGUUCCAAGGCCAGAGAUUGAACCUGGGCCAUUGCAGUGACCUAAGCCAUAUGCAGUUAAAAUGUUGGAUCCUUAACAUGCUAGGCCGCCAGGGAACUCCCUCUAAUCCAUUUCUUAUUUCCGUUUUCCCACGGUUUUUCUCAAAUGAAGGAUCCUGGAGGGCAGUCUGGGCUGGGGUUAGAAGUGUCUGAUAGAGGACAUCACUGGUCUGAGGCUCUGAGCCCACAGCCCCACUGCCAUGAAAAGAGGACCAUGGCAAUGCUCACUGGAGGGGCAAGUUUGCCUCAGUCAUCAGCGUGCUCACUGCCUGUCCCCAGGGAGACCGCUGGCCCGGUGUCUCACACAGUUGGAAUACCCCACGACCCUGGUACAGGGAGAAAGUAAACCGUCUGCAUCCAGACCGAAUCCCUUUCUAAUCUGGGUUCUUUAGGAAGGUGCCCAGGUAAACCAGUCCCCCGUGCCACUCCCUCAUUUCCACCAGAGGCAGAAACAGUCCCAACCUAGCUCUCCAGGCUCAGCCAACAAGCUGUGUUCACCAGCUGUGUCACCCCCAACCCCCCUCUCCCCCAUUGCUUUUUCUUCUACAAUGUCUGCUUAACAGCACUAUGUAAUCUUGAUGUGCUAAUCCCAUUAGGAGAUGGUCCCUUUGCAGGGCAAUCUCAUCAGAAAUUCCCCUGGAGAAAAAAAUAUUACAUUUGGUUGAGGGAAUCCUAAUUCCAUCCAUUCCAGCCUCUCUAAAAUAUAUCCCUCUUGUGAUGGGACCAGAAAGGUCUAUGCAUUCACCAUUAUCUUGCUGGUACUUGCUUCUUAGAAAUUUUCUUUUUACUGUAGAAAUGAUAAACACUGCAGGUGUAUUCCAUUUGGCUUUCACUGUGAGAUAAAAUACUCAUAGAAAUGAGGAGCCUUAGAAGCCUCUGAGACCAGUAAGCCCAAGAACAUCUGGAGGGGAGACUAGGAAAAUGCUUUUGUAGGAAUUUGCUAAGGGGAAGACAAAUGGGAUUUGAGUUAUAGGAAGUAGGUGACUGAAAUGCUUUGUUUCAUUGGAAAAGAGGGAGUAGGAUUAGGCUGGGAGGUUCCCAAGGAGCCUUGAACCAUGUGAACUAAAGCCAACUGUAGGCAUAACACGCUUUAUGUGUGCCUGUGGGUUUGCCAUUCCUGAGACUAUUGGCCUGGAAUCCAAUCUGGAUGAGGAGCGAUGGCUCCUGUGGGCUCCUGUAUGAGCUGGCUCCAACUGGGCAGUGGGAUGUAUGGGUGGGAGGUUGGAGACAUAGGUAGGGGUAGACCAGGAAUAUUUCCUCUCAUCCCUAUCUUUCUGCUCUGGGCAGUGUCUCUGGUAGCAGCUGUGACUCCUGUGUGGCCUCAGGCAUGCAGGCAUCAGCUUUGGCAUGGCUUGGGCUUAGAUAAGGCUACCCCUUCCCUCUGUUGCUUCAUGGCUAUAAUGACUUUCUGCUGUUACUUUUUUCUAGGGCUACCUCCCUGCCCUUUAUUGGCUUCUUAGCUCUCGAAGUUCCCUGCUUUAAAUUCCCUCUGCCUCAAAGACAGAGAAGUUUCUGGGUUUUUUUGUUUUUUCUUUCUUUUUUUCUGGCAGGAUCAUGAAGGAUAUAAUCUGAAUUCUUUGGCAUUUAGA